UUAUUGGAGAGUUUGAUCCUGGCUCAGGACGAACGCUGGCGGCGUGCCUAAUACAUGCAAGUCGAGCGGAC
rnacentral:rRNA from 2 species